CUCCUGAUAGCUCAGUUGGUAGAGCGAUGGACUGUAAUUGAAAUAUAGUAAAUCCACAGGUCGCGUGUUCGACUCACGCUCGGGAGA